rnacentral:lncRNA from 1 species
CAGGGCAACAAGAGCAGCUGGCCUCCAGAGAUUGAGAGUGAGAGAGAGAGGUGUAGAGUGAGAGGGGGUGUGUGAGGAAAAAAAAAAAAAAAAAAACUGAGAGUGAAUGAGUGUGGAAAGACAGCGCCAGAAGAGAGCGGCGGAGGGGGAGUGGAGGCAGAGAAAGGGGAGAGACUUACUGCCAGUGCAAAAGACUAAGGAGAGAGAGCAUAGUAGAGGAGGUACACAGACUCUCUCAGAAGACGAGAGCAGCACAAAGAAGCAGAAAGUGAACACAGACUUUUAAAGAGAGAGAAACUGCUGGAAACUGCCAUACUGACAACUGACAACCCAGUGAACUAAAGAUACAGAACCUUUAAAAGGACAAAAUAAAAUCUUUCAGUCUGGAAAACUGGAAUAAGCUAAUUAGAUGAGGUGAAACAGCGUAGAGGAGACCACACAAAGUAUAGGAAUAAGAAGAGGGGGAUGGUGAAAGAGAGUUUUUAAUGGACAUUUGAGAAACUUUGAGAAAAGUGGAUAAACUCUGUACUGAAGUUUGAGAGACUGAUACAUUGCCAAACUCAUUCACUCCAAAAGCAUUGCAGAUAUUCUGGGACUAAAGUUGGCUUUCAGGGAAACCUUUGGGGUCUCUUCAGACAUUCACGUGUACAGAGGCCCAUUAUCAGCAACUAUCACACCUGUGUUCCAAUGGUACGUUGUGUUAGCUAAUCCAAGUUUAUCAUUUUAAAGGGAUAAUUGAUCAUUAGAAAAACCAAUUAUGUUAGCAUAGCUGAAAACUGUUGUGCUGAUUAAAGAAGCAAUGAAACUGGCC